rnacentral:other from 1 species
GGCAUCCUGCUGUGUGCGUGAUGUCGCGCCAACGUUUUGAGCCAACACUCCAUUAACGGGAUUUGGCACUGUGGCGGCAAGGUGAUAGGCACGCGCUGCCAAGACCUCAACGCUAACUCAAGUCCCACCUGCGAAAGCAGGUUCAAAACUCCGCACACACGGCACAGCAGGGAUUUU